rnacentral:rRNA from 1 species
GAUCAUGGCUCAGGAUGAACGCUAGCUACAGGCUUAACACAUGCAAGUCGAGGGGCAGCGGGAAGUCAGCUUGCUGACUUUGCCGGCGACCGGCGCACGGGUGAGUAACACGUAUCCAACCUCCCGCAUACUCGGGAAUAGCCUUUCGAAAGAAAGAUUAAUGCCCGAUGGUUUCAAGGGAUUGCAUGGUAUCUUGAAUAAAGAUUUAUCGGUGUACGAUGGGGAUGCGUUCCAUUAGG